rnacentral:lncRNA from 1 species
ACACAUUAUGGACAUUGUUCUUCGUACAUAAAGAAAAGAUAUUGCAAUUCAGUACACAAGGUAUUAAGGACAUAUUUAGAGGCGCAAGAGGUUCAUCCGAAACUCUUUUACUAGGAAAUGACAUUAUAUAUUGGUAAAAUUUAAUUUAUACCUCUAUAUAUUAAAUUUUAAAUUUAUUUGAUAUAGUCCAAAAGUAUAAAUUGACGGUUAAGGGGGUUCAAAACCUUUAGUAAGUCUUUGCUUCAAUUUACAUUGGUCGUAAUCUCUUUGAAUUUUAAAUUCUUUUUUCCUUUUUGAAUACCAUUAGCUGAAAUUCUACAACGUUCACGCAAGUUUCAAAAAAGAUCAUAUGUCAAGAAGUGCGAUAUAGACAAUUCACCAUAAUACAAAUAUUAUUUUUCAAAAUUUUCACUCAAAUCAUUCACAAAAUUUCAAAAAAAAAAAAAACUCAAACUGAAAUUUAUGUCCUAACACAACUCUAAAGUUCAAAUACCAUUUUCACUUGAUUUUUUUUUACAAUUCUUUGGAAUUUUACAAUUCUUAUGUCCAAACGCCUACUAAGAGCCCGUUUCAAGGUACAAAACUUUUAUUUUUUUAUUUUUUUUUCAAAAUUAAUGUUUGUUCAUAAAAUUUAAAUUUUUACUUGAAGAUGCAUUUUAUAAUUUUUCAAAAAUUUGAAAAACUCCAUAAAUUUUCACUUAAAAAAACUUCAAAUAUAACCCAAAAUUAUAUUCAUGUCCAAAUACAAUUCUAAUUUUCAAAUAUCAUUUUCACUUGAAAAUUUUUUUCAUUAAAAUUUUACAAUUCGUAUGUCCAAACGCCCACUAACCCCGUUUGGUCAUAGAUUUAAAAAAAUUCAAAUUUUAUUGGCAAAUACCUAUUUGUUUAAAGAUUUUAUCCAUAUUAUGGCAAAUUUUCAAAUCCUAAAACCAGGUCAUGAUUACUUUUGGCCAAAAAUAUACCGUUUGAUUUUUAAAAAAAUUUCAAAAAUUACCCCAAACUUUGUAUUUUAUAGAAAAGCUCACCUACUAUUAUUAUGACCCAACUAGUCCAUAUCUACCCACGUUUUCCUCAUUAAAUUCAUGCGAAUUUGCCUUUUUCUAUAAACGGUAGAAAACCUUCGCCAAAGGUGUUGUACCAAUCUGUGGCAAUCCAACACAAAGAUAAAAUUUGAAGGUAAAUUUAGAAUAGUGUACUAUGUAGUUCAUUAUAAAAUUUUUUUAUAUCAAACUUAUUUAUGUUAAGGACUAUGGUUUGUGAUAAUGAUAAUGAAUGUUAUCAAUGAAGGUUCUGCAUAUACAUGAUUAGCAAGUAUGUUUGUUUGUUAUUGUUGGAAAUAUUUAAUAGUUAUAGGUAUGUCACAUUUCAUGUUUUUUUAAAAGUGAAAUAUGUUUUGAAAAAUUAUCUCCAAAUAAAUUUUUGUUUUCUAACCAAACCUAAAUAAGAAUUUUCAAAAUAAAUUUGGGAACCUAUGGCUAAACGAUAGCUAAAUUUAUACUCACUUCGAUCACUUUUACUUGUCCACUAUAUUUUCACGUUUACUUGUCCAGUAUACUGAAUCAAGAGAAAGACGAUCUUUUUUUUCUGUUUUAUCUUUAUCAUUAUUCAUUUUUAAAAUUAUUUCCCAAGAUUUUUCGAAAUACUAUUAUUAUUAUUAGGAGUUAUACGAUAAAAUACAUAUUACAAUUAAGAAAUGUGAACAGUUCAAAAUAUACAAAUAAAAAUGAACGAAAGAGCACAUUAUUCAACUGGAGGUAUUAACUCAUCUUAGGAUACCUUAAACUUAGUAUUAUUUUAUUCUACUUGGGAGGUUAGAUAAAUAAUCCCUAAAUUAGUUAUCCUUGGAUAAAAUGUGAAAAUGAUCCAGGAACUAUACUCCUGAAAUAAUUUUGUCUUUGAACCAAAUUAUAACACUGUUUAUUAAGUUCGUGAAGUAUUGACAAAGUUUUACCAAUAUUGUAUGUUGACAUGAAUGGGCGGAGCUAGCCUAUAGAGUACGGGUUCGACCGAACUCAAUCGCUUUGAUCCAAAUUAUAUAUUUAUUUUAAAAAAAUUAUUGGAUAUAUAUAAAUUAUUAAUUUAAAAAUUAGUAAUUUAAAAGGACUAAAAUCUCGAACCCAUAAAUUCUAAAUGCUGGCUUCGCUUUCGCUGAAAUGACAUCUAAUCACGAUGAAAACAUCCAUAUCCUAUAAAUAGUAGCUUUAAAAGUUAACCAAUUUCUCAAAGAUGCUAAAAAGGACAUUCCAACUCCGACUUGCUGACCUAAUUUAAUUCUUCCAAAUACAGCAUAAGCAACUUCGUGUGAAAAUACAGAAAACACUAUUAGGAAAAUGAAUCAUGGCCUAACGUUCAGCUUUGCCAUAUUCACUUUUUUACUUUUUUUCUUUACCGUUAGGUUUAAACAAGUAUUUGAAAAACUUCAACAGCCAAAUUACACAUGGUUCCAAUCUUGUCUUCCAUGUUGGACCAUUCUAAUUAUAGACAGAAGCAAAGCUAUAUUCUACAUAUUCACAUUCAUUUGGACAGUUGCAAUAUAUACGUAAAAUAUGUUUGCUUUUUUCAGUACACUGUAUGAGGGGUUGUUGCGUGGAUUCAAAGGUUUUCAGAAACUUAUAGUAAUGACUCGGGUGGAGCUAUUUCUUAAUUUUUUUGCUAAAAUUUUGAAUUCGUAUUAGAAAAUUUAUAUAAUAUAUAUAAAUAUUUAUAUUACAUAUUCAUUAACUAAAUGAGUUAUAAACUUAAUGACAAAUUUAAAAUUUAUAAACUUUAAUUUAUGAUUCCAGGCUAGUUAGUACCUCUGUUUGGCUAAAAAGUUAUGCAAAUACUUAAAUAGCUCUAAAACAAUAAAAAUAGGGAUAAUUUCACAUAAGUACACUUGCGGGAAGCACUUUCAGCCGCAUAACCUAUAAUUACAGUUUUCAUGCGGUAGCCCACAAAUUAUUUCAGUGCCUAACUAUCAACUUCAUCAACUACACCCAAAAUCACGCCUAAAUCAGAUUUUGCUUUUUUCUUUCAUUGUUAUCUUUACCUUUUUUCCAUUUUCAUUCUUAUUUAUUGUUUACUUCCCUCUAUAUAGUAA